AUUGAACGCUGGCGGCAUGCUUUACACAUGCAAGUCGGACGGCAGCACAGAGAAGCUUGCUUCUUGGGUGGCGAGUGGCGAACGGGUGAGUAAUAUAUCGGAACGUACCGAGUAAUGGGGGAUAACUAAUCGAAAGAUUAGCUAAUACCGCAUAUUCUCUGAGGAGGAAAGCAGGGGACCUUCGGGCCUUGCGUUAUUCGAGCGGCCGAUAUCUGAUUAGCUAGUUGGUGGGGUAAAGGCCUACCAAGGCGACGAUCAGUAGCGGGUCUGAGAGGAUGAUCCGCCACACUGGGACUGAGACACGGCCCAGACUCCUACGGGAGGCAGCAGUGGGGAAUUUUGGACAAUGGGCGCAAGCCUGAUCCAGCCAUGCCGCGUGUCUGAAGAAGGCCUUCGGGUUGUAAAGGACUUUUGUCAGGGAAGAAAAGGCUGUUGCUAAUACUGACAGCUGAUGACGGUACCUGAAGAAUAAGCACCGGCUAACUACGUG
rnacentral:rRNA from 1 species